GCCUCGUUAGCGUAGUUGGAUUAUCGCAUCCGUCUAAUACACGGUGCCUCAGUAUUGCCUGGGAUUACAACGGAAGGUCACUGGUUCGAGCCCAGUACGGGGCA